AUUGAACGCUGGCGCCAGGCCUAACACAUGCAAGUCGAGCGGAUGAGGGAAGCUUGCUUCCCGAUUUAGCGGCGGACGGGUGAGUAAUGCCUAGGAAUCUGCCUAUUAGUGGGGGAUAACGUUCCGAAAGGAACGCUAAUACCGCAUACGUCCUACGGGAGAAAGUGGGGGAUCUUCGGACCUCACGCUAAUAGAUGAGCCUAGGUCGGAUUAGCUAGUUGGUGAGGUAACGGCUCACCAAGGCGACGAUCCGUAGCUGGUCUGAGAGGAUGAUCAGCCACACUGGAACUGAGACACGGUCCAGACUCCUACGGGAGGCAGCAGUGGGGAAUAUUGGACAAUGGGCGAAAGCCUGAUCCAGCCAUGCCGCGUGUGUGAAGAAGGUCUUCGGAUUGUAAAGCACUUUAAGUUGGGAGGAAGAGUUGUAAGCUAAUAUCUUGCAGCUUUGACGUUACCAACAGAAUAAGCACCGGCUAACUACGUGCCAGCCGCCGCCGUAAGAC
rnacentral:rRNA from 1 species